AUAUUUCUUUAUUUAUAUAGUUUAAAUAAAACAUUACAUUUUCAUUGUAAAAUUAAAUUAUAAUUUUUAU
rnacentral:tRNA from 1 species